rnacentral:rRNA from 1 species
AUUGAACGCUGGCGGCAGGCUUAACACAUGCAAGUCGAGCGGGGGAAGGUAGCUUGCUACUAGACCUAGCGGCGGACGGGUGAGUAAUGCUUAGGAAUCUGCCUAUUAGUGGGGGACAACAUCUCGAAAGGGAUGCUAAUACCGCAUACGUCCUACGGGAGAAAGCAGGGGAUCUUCGGACCUUGCGCUAAUAGAUGAGCCUAAGUCGGAUUAGCUAGUUGGUGGGGUAAAGGCCUACCAAGGCGACGAUCUGUAGCGGGUCUGAGAGGAUGAUCCGCCACACUGGGACUGAGAAACGGCCCAGACUCCUACGGGAGGCAGCAGUGGGGAAUAUUGGACAAUGGGGGGAACCCUGAUCCAGCCAUGCCGCGUGUGUGAAGAAGGCCUUAUGGUUGUAAAGCACUUUAAGCGAGGAGGAGGCUACUCUAGUUAAUACCUAGGGAUAGUGGACGUUACUCGCAGAAUAAGCACCGGCUAACUCUGUGCCAGCAGCCGCAGUAA